AUGUGUUUGGGGCCUAAAUAUAAACCUAUACAUGUUACGUGUAAUGCAUUUGUAAACACAUUCUUAUCCUAUAUAUGUUCUUCUCCUAAACAUGUUAAGGAUUCGUUUUUUUUUAUUAUUUUGUUUUGUAUCUGAGAGUUGUAAUUUUCCUGCUCAAAUUACUAAUUCAUUUGGGUCAUGCUUAUUUUUUUAUUUGUGUAUAUAUAAAGGGCGAAUCUUAAUUAAAUCCCGCUGAUGCACACCCCUUUGUCUCAAUUUCUUUACGAUUGCGCUUGAUCGUGAAUUCAGUGUUACUCUAAAAUGAGUUAUCAAGAACAUAAGAGGGUUGUGUUUUCUUGUAAUAUGUAUUAUUUAAUUUGUUAAAUAAUUUUUCUAUAAUCUUUUAAGACUUAAUAAAUUUUGCUCAUUAUUCUCUAUUCUGCACGUUAUUCGCUAUCCUUAUUAUUUUAGCUUUUUUUCUCGGUUUUUUAUUUUUUUUAUCCAUUUUCUGUAAUGUUAGCCCCUUAUUUCUCUAUUCUAUAAACUCCAUUUAGACCUUCAUAUAUUUUUUAUCCUAAUUUCAGGACCAGUCAGCAAUUUGUUUCCAAUCAUUAAUGUUGAAUUAAUAAAUCGAUGCAUUAACAAGAACCGGUUUAUGCAUAUGUAUCCAUAUCCAAUCCCUGCUCGCACUUCUAAAACCAAUAAUUUAACAUCACACACACUUUAACAGACAUUUCAUUGAACACUGACUACUAGUAUGGAAAUCUUGGUAAAACCACAAGUUGCGCUCAGGGUCGGGUGUUUUUUUUUUUUUUUUUUUAGACCCGUCGCCAUUUUCAUUUAAUUUUUCAUGUUGUAACUGUCGGAAAUCAUGACACCUUUGUAUUUGUUGCAUAUACAAUUAAAACUGGAAAUGUUAUUUUGUUCGUAACAUGUAUAAUGGGAUGAUAAAGGUGAAUAGAACAUUUAUACAUCAAUAUGGUCCGGGAACAAUGACAUAAUCCUUAGACUCCCUAGUGUGGACUGUGUGUUGGUUGCAAUUUAUUUUUAUACUCCUUCCAAAUUUAUUUCUUCAUGUUUUAUGCCUCAAAUAGCAAUUACACUGUAAACAAAAAUUGGGUCCUGAAUUUUAAAGUAAAGAAGAGAUUUUGUCCAGCUGAAAAAGGUUUAAAAUUAGUAUUUCGGAAGCUGUGAAAAGUUUUCAAGACCCCCUUAACAUAAAAUUGUCCAUAUUUUG
rnacentral:lncRNA from 1 species